UCUUGUGCGACUGCGCCGUCGGCCGCGUCCUCAUGCGCGGCAGGUCCGAGGUCCUCGACCUCGGCCGCCGCACCCGCCUCAUCACGCCGUCCCAACGGCGGGCGCUGCGCGUGCGGGAUGGAACGUGUGUAGAACCGGGCUGCACCCUCCCCGCCCAAUACUGCGACGGCCACCACAUCGUCCACUGGACCAAAGACGGCGAGUCCAACCUCGACAAUCUGCAGCUCCGCUGCCGACGACACCACCUCCGCCAACACCAACGCGACCUCCAGGCCGCUAUCACCACCCGACGACGAGAAUGAGAUCGUUCGAAGGGCGUCGGAGUGAUCAGGACGACUUCGGAGGACCGAUGAUGAGGCGGCUCAGGUCGAUUCGCGCUGCGUCGCCGGACAGUCGCACCGUGUACCGGUCGAGAUCGCGCGGGCACGGACCGCCGACGCACCGUCCGUCGAACGCGUAGGUCGCGCCGCCGCACGGAUCCUCGAUCUUGGGAUCGCCCGGGUUCUCGUCGAACCCUCGGCCGUAUCUCCGAUCACCCGGAACCAACAACGAGCAUCCGAGGUGGGUGCUCACGCCGAGGAACGCCUGGACCUGUCCCGAGCGUCGCACGAAGAACACGCGAGCCGCCCCCGAUUCGCGAUGAGGCGGCAGCGCCGUUGACGGAAGCUCGACGGCGACGGGGAGCACACGGCCGUUCCUCAGGUCGGAGACGUCGGCCGUCACGACAUGUGCCGGUACGUCGGAUUCCCCGCGAUCGAAGAUGGCAACGAAUGCGAUGGCGGUGACGGCAGCGACGGCGACGAGUACCGCCGCCAACAGCAGGCGCGCACGCACGCCCGAUUCUCGCGCACCGCAGGGCUCGAACCUCGGGUCGUGACUCCUAGCCGGGGCGGGUCAUGUCCUCGGGGACGAUGAUCCGGUCGUACUCCUCUUCGGUGAGGUGGCCGAGGGCGACCGCGGCUUCCCUGGCCGUGAGGUCGUUCUUGUGGGCGUGCUUGGCGAUGGCGGCGGCGUUGUCGUAGCCGAUCGCCUCGUUGAGGCCCGUCACCAGCAUGAGCGACCGCUCGACGUACUCGGCAAUCUGCUCGCGGUUCGCCUCCACCCCGUCGAUCGCGAACAGCCGGAAGUUCGUGCAGGCGUCGGUGAGCAGGUCGACGGAGUGCAAGAAGUUGAAGAUCAUCACCGGCUUGAACACGUUGAGCU
rnacentral:misc_RNA from 1 species